rnacentral:rRNA from 1 species
AGUGAACGCUGGCGGUAGGCCUAACACAUGCAAGUCGAACGGCAGCACAGUAAGAGCUUGCUCUUACGGGUGGAGAGUGGCGGAAGGGUGCGGAAUACAUCGGAAUCUACUUUUUAGUGGGGGGUAACGUAGGGUAACUUACGCUAAUACCGCAUACGACCUACGGGUGAAAGCAGGGGCUCUUCGGACCUUGCGCGCUUGUAUGAGCCGAUGUCGGAUUAGCUAGUUGGCGGGGUAAAGGCCAACCAAGGCGACGAUCCGUAGCUGGUCUGAGAGGAUGAUCAGCCACACUGGAACUGAGACACGGUCCAGACUCCUACGGGAGGCAGCAGUGGGGAAUAUUGGACAAUGGGCGCAAGCCUGAUCCAGCCAUACCGCGUGGGGGAUGAAGGCCUUCGGGUUGUAAAGUCCUUUUGUUGGGAAAGAAAAGCAUCAUUUUAAUACCGCGCUGUUCUGACGGUACCCAAAGAAUAAGCACCGGCUAACUUCGUG